rnacentral:ncRNA from 1 species
CAUACAAGGGGAAUUUGAUUGUUUAAUUAAAAAAAAACAUUGUGAUGGUCCCUGCAGAUGCUAACAUAAUGUGAUUUAUGCCCAGUUCUCUACAUGUCAAAGUGAAGAAAAUCAACCAAGCAUGGGUAAAUUAUGGGAGUAACUAUGACUCUCUUAAGGUAGCCAUAUGCAUGAUCAUCUAAUUAGUUAUGUGCAUGAAUGGAUUAAUGAGAUUCCCAUUGUGCCAAGCUACUAUCUAGAGAAUCCACAACCAAUGGAAUUAGCUUUGCAAAAUUAGUGAGGAAAGAAGACCUUGUUGAGAUUGACUCUAGUCUUCCUUUGUGAAAUGACUUGAAAGGUGUAGAAUAAGUGGGCUUUGUUUUCAGUGCAAGUGAAAUACCACUACUUUUAACGGUAUUUUACUCAUUUUGUGGGGUAGAGAUGAGGUAUUUCACAUAUGUUAAAAAAUAAUGUACAUUUCCUCAAAGUGUUGUCAUUGCUGGAAAUGGUCAAAAUCUCAUUCUUCACACACUUGAUGGCAAUGAGUUUAGGAAACCAUAGAUGAUCAUUUCUUUUAAGGAUGAAAAAAGUUCCUAUAACAAUCCCUAUUUUUUUAGACAACAUCCCCCUAUAUGUAUCUAUGU